rnacentral:rRNA from 1 species
UACGUAGGGGCCUAGCGUUGUCCGGAAUUAUUGGGCGUAAAGAGCUCGUAGGCGGUUCGGCAAGUCGGAUGUGAAAUCUCCACGCUCAACGUGGAGGGGCCAUUCGAAACUGCCGUGACUCGAGUCCGGUAGGGGAGUGUGGAAUUCCCGGUGUAGCGGUGAAAUGCGCAGAUAUCGGGAAGAACACCCGUGGCGAAGGCGGUUCUCUGGGACGGUACUGACGCUGAGACGCGAAAGCGUGGGGAGCGAACAGG